rnacentral:lncRNA from 1 species
UUUUAUAACCAGUGUUCUAUGACUUACUUUUACGUACUAAAAUUUGCUACACUUUCUAAACUCAUCAUCUAUCUAAAAAUAAAGUCAAACAUCCCCACCAACACUCUUAUUAACACUAGAUUUUCUUGAACUAGUAUGCCUCACAAAUCGUCUAACACUAGGCUAGCCUUGAAUUUCUCAAAAAUUAUCUAAGGUCGGUUUGAC